GUGUCUGGUGGGUAGUUUGACUGGGGCGGUCUCCUCCUAAAGAGUAACGGAGGAGCACGAAGGUUGGCUAAUCCUGGUCGGACAUCAGGAGGUUAGUGCAAUGGCAUAAGCCAGCUUGACUGCGAGCGUGACGGCGCGAGCAGGUGCGAAAGCAGGUCAUAGUGAUCCGGUGGUUCUGAAUGGAAGGGCCAUCGCUCAACGGAUAAAAGGUACUCCGGGGAUAACAGGCUGAUACCGCCCAAGAGUUCAUAUCGACGGCGGUGUUUGGCACCUCGAUGUCGGCUCAUCACAUCCUGGGGCUGAAGUAGGUCCCAAGGGUAUGGCUGUUCGCCAUUUAAAGUGGUACGCGAGCUGGGUUUAGAACGUCGUGAGACAGUUCGGUCCCUAUCUGCCGUGGGCGCUGGAAGACUGAGGGGGGCUGCUCCUAGUACGAGAGGACCGGAGUGGACGCAUCACUGGUGUUCGGGUUGUCAUGCCAAUGGCACUGCCCGGUAGCUAAAUGCGGAAAAGAUAAGUGCUGAAAGCAUCUAAGCACGAAACUUGCCCCGAGAUGAGUCUUCCCUGAGACUUUGAGUCUCCUGAAGGAACGUUAAAGACGAUGACGUUGAUAGGCCGGGUGUGUAAGCGCAGCGAUGCGUUGAGCUAACCGGUACUAAUGAACCGUGAGG
rnacentral:rRNA from 1 species